UACGUAGGGGGCAAGCGUUGUCCGGAUUUAUUGGGCGUAAAGGGCGCGUAGGCGGUGUGUCAAGUCAGGCGUGAAAGCCCCGGGCUCAACCUGGGAACAGCGCUUGAGACUGGCACGCUCGAGUUCGGGAGAGGAUGGUGGAAUUCCCAGUGUAGAGGUGAAAUUCGUAGAUAUUGGGAAGAACACCGAUGGCGAAAGGGCAGCCAUCUGGACCGACACUGACGCUGAGGCGCGAAAGCGUGGGGAGCAAACAGG
rnacentral:rRNA from 1 species